UACAGAGGUCUCAACCGUUGUUCGGAUUCAUUGGGCGUAAAGGGUGCGUAGGCGGUCGCGCAAGUCGGAUGUGAAAUCUCAGGGCUCAACCCUGAAACUGCAUUCGAUACUGCGUGGCUAGAGUGCUGGAGGGGAGACUGGAAUUUACGGUGUAGCAGUGAAAUGCGUAGAUAUCGUAAGGAAGACCAGUGGCGAAGGCGAAUCUCUGGACAGCAACUGACGCUGAGGCACGAAGGCCAGGGGGAGCAAACGGG
rnacentral:rRNA from 1 species